rnacentral:rRNA from 11 species
UGACCGAUAGUGAACCAGUACCGUGAGGGAAAGGCGAAAAGAACCCCUGUGAGGGGAGUGAAAUAGAUCCUGAAACCGUAUGCGUACAAGCAGUCGGAGCAGACUUGUUCUGUGACGGCGUACCUUUUGUAUAAUGGGUCAGCGACUUAUGUUCAGUGGCGAGGUUAACCGUUUAGGGGAGCCGUAGGGAAACCGAGUCUGAAUAGGGCGAUUUAGUCGCUGGGCAUAGACCCGAAACCGGGCGAUCUAUCCAUGAGCAGGUUGAAGGUUGAGUAACAUCAACUGGAGGACCGAACCCACUGUCGUUGAAAAGCCAGGGGAUGACUUGUGGAUCGGAGUGAAAGGCUAAUCAAGCCCGGAGAUAGCUGGUUCUCCCCGAAAGCUAUUUAGGUAGCGCCUCGGACGAAUACCACAGGGGGUAGAGCACUGUUUCGGCUAGGGGGUCAUCCCGACUUACCAACCCGAUGCAAACUCCGAAUACCUGUGAGUACUAUCCGGGAGACACACGGUGGGUGCUAACGUCCAUCGUGAAGAGGGAAACAACCCAGACCGCCAGCUAAGGUCCCCAAGUACCAGUUAAGUGGGAAACGAUGUGGGAAGGCUCAGACAGCUAGGAGGUUGGCUUAGAAGCAGCCACCCUUGAAAGAGUGCGUAAUAGCUCACUGGUCAAGUGAUUCCGCGCCGACAAUGUAGCGGGGCUCAAGCAGUCCGCCGAAGCUGUGGCACU